rnacentral:rRNA from 1 species
AUUGAACGCUGGCGGCAGGCCUAACACAUGCAAGUCGAACGAGUGGCGGACGGGUGAGUAAUGUCUGGGAAACUGACUGAUGGAGGGGGAUAACUACUGGAAACGGUAGCUAAUACCGCAUACCAUCAGAUGUGCCCAGAUGGGAUUAGCUUGUUGGUGGGGUAACGGCGCCCCAAGGCGACGAUCCCUAGUUGGUCUGAGAGGAUGACCAGCCACACUGGAACUGAUGCACGGUCCAGACUCCUACAGGAUGCAGCAGUGGGGAAUAUUGCACAAUGGGCGCAAGCCGGAUGCAGCCAUGCCGCGUGUAUGAAGAAGGCCGUCGGGUUGUAAAGUACUUUCAGCGGGGAGGCGUUACCCGCAGAAGAAGCACCGGCUAACUCCGUGCCAGCAGCCGCGGUAAUAC